rnacentral:rRNA from 1 species
UACAUGGGGUGCAAACGUUGCUCGGAAUUAUUGGGCGUAAAGCGCACGUAGGCGGUCUGUUAUGUCAGAUGUGAAAGCCCUCGGCUUAACUGAGGAAGUGCACCUGAAACUGGCAGGCUUGAGUACGAGAGAGGGGCGUGGAAUUCCGGGUGUAGUGGUGAAAUGCGUAGAUAUGCGGAGGAACACCGAUGGCGAAGGCAAUCCCCUGGGCCUGCACUGACGCUCAUGCACGAAAGCGUGGGGAGCAAACAGG